UACAGAGGGGGCAAGCGUUAUUCGGAAUUAUUGGGCGUAAAGGGCGCGUAGGCGGCUUGGCAAGUGGAUGGUGAAAUCCCUCGGCUUAACCGAGGAACUGCCGUCCAAACUGCUUUGCUUGAGACCGGGAGAGGUGAGUGGAAUUCCCAGUGUAGCGGUGAAAUGCGUAGAUAUUGGGAGGAACACCAGUGGCGAAGGCGGCUCACUGGACCGGUACUGACGCUGAUGCGCGAAAGCCAGGGGAGCGAACAGG
rnacentral:rRNA from 1 species